UCCCUGGUGGUCCAGUGGCUAGGACUCUGCGCUUCUAAUGCAGGGGGCCCAGGUUCGAUCCCUGGUCAGGCCUCUGGAC